ensembl:lncRNA
CAACUGACAGGUGUCAUACGCUGGAAAGUCAUUACGCAGAGGAACGCAGGAGGCGGGCCCGUGAGUCGUGUGAAAUUGGAGGAAUGGAGAGCAUGCAGUCACAAUCACCAGCCCUGCCACUCUGCCAGGGAGCAGGACUGAACUGGUGAGGUGCCACAGAGACUGAAGGAGCAAUUAUGAUAAUGAAGCUAAGAAUAUCAGAUAUUAAUACCAAAAAAUAACUGUGCUUUUGCCCUUUGUAAUUUGUCUACUUUGAACUGAAGGAGAGGAAACACUAAGAAACUACAUUUUUUUAGAGAGCUCUGUGAAGAUGAGAAUCUCUUUGUUUCUCCUUUUCCCCUCUUUUCUCUCUCUCUCUUUUUUUUUUUUUUAAUUUUUCAUUAUUAUUUGUUGAUUGAAUCAGGAGAAUGGGAACAAGAUUCUGGAAAUUUGGGAGCUUUCUAGGAAAAUACUGUUCUGAAUCAAGCACUAUUCUCAGUCUAUGUAGUUCCUCAGAGUACCUGAAAUAUUCCGAAGUCUCAUCUAAAUCAGUAUUUAAAAUUAAAGCUCUUAUUCUGCUAUAGUUGAACAUUUGAGAUCUUCAGGAACCAUGGUGGCAGGCCUGGACUUUUAGAGAUAAACACAGUUUGGAUCUUGGAACUUCACCUUUCACUCUAUUAAAAAUGAUACAAAACCACCAAGAAAACAACCAGCUUUCCAUGGCUGCAAACUAAAAGCACAGUUGUACUUUUUUUUCUGUCCCUGCCCUAUUCAUAUCAUAUGAUCAUUAGGGUUGGAAAAGACCUCUAAAUGUCAUGUAGUCCAACCAUCUACCUACCACCGAUAUUGCCCACUAAACCAUAUCCCCAAGUACUACAUCUACCCUUUCCUUAAACACCUCCGGGGACUCCACCACCUACCUGGGCAGCCCAUUCCAGUGCCUCACCACUCCUUGUGAGAUGAAAUUCUUCCUAAUAUCCAACCUGAACAUCCCCUGGAGCAACUUGAGGCCAUUUCCUCUCGUCCUGACACUGUUAUCUAAGAACAGAGGUUGACCUCCAUCUCACUACGGUCUCCUUUCCAGUUGCUGUAGAGAGAGAUAAGGUCUCCCCUGAAUCUCCUUUUCUCCAGACUAAAGAACCCUAGUUCCCUCAGCUGCUCCCUAUAAUACUUGCAUUUCAGACUCUUCACAGCUUCAUCGCCCAAACCUGGACACCCUCCAGGUCCUCAGUGUCUUUCUUAUAGUGAGAGUCCCCAAAGUGAACACAGUACUCAAGGUGUGGCCUCAUCAGUGCAGAGUACAGACAGAUGAUCACCUCCUUGCUCCUGAUGGCUGCACUAUUUCUAAUACAGGUCAGGACACCAUUGGCCUUCUUAGCCACCUGGGCACACUGCUGGCUCAUGUUCAGCCAAGUGUCAAUGAACACACCCAGGUCCAUUUCUUCUACACAGUCUUCCAACCACUCUGCCCCAAGCCUGUAGUAUUGCCUGGGGUUGUUGUGGCCAAAGUGCAGGACCCGGCAUUUGGUCUUGUUGAACUUUACCUCAUUGACCUCAGCCCAGCGAUCCAG